UUUAGCAGAACAACUUCUUCAUUUAGAAAUAAGGAGUUUCUGAUAUGACAGUGAAAUUCAAGGAUUCGAGUGAUAAAGUCUCAACAUGAAAGUCCGUCACAUUGUUAUCUGCUUCAUCUUCCUCACACUGCAGGAUGGAAACACUGUUCCUUACAAUGCAAAGAUUGCCAUGCACACAGGAGUGGAAGGAGGAAACAUCACAGUUAAAUGUUCAUUUUAUAUCUUUGGAAAGUGGAAGCUCUUAUGUAAGGACCAAUGUGAAAGGGGAAACAUUCUCAUUGAAACAGCCGACCUUGUAGCUCAAAGAGGCAGAUACUUUAUUAAAUACAAAGAAGAAGAGUUUCCAACACGUCAUGCAGUUUUUUAUGUCAGCAUCACACAGCUGGAAAAAUCUGACUCGGGGCUGUACCGGUGCUAUUUGGACAGAGACUUGGAUCCAUAUUUGUUUGAUAGCUUUCAGCUCACGGUGACAGAAGGUUUGAAGAAACAGAAAAUUAUGAAUUAUGAAAAGAGCGAGAUUGUUCUCUAUGACAAUCUUCUGACGUUGCCACCUGAAGAGUCAGUAUACCAGAGCCUGGAUCCAGCCAGCAGGGAUGAAGACCAAGUGUACCUUACACUUAAACAGACAUGAAAGCACAAAUAAUCCAGCAUUCAGGCCUGAAUUUAUGUGUCACAACAGACACAGAUUGAUACAACAGACAACAUCUUUAAACACUUCUUUAUUCUUCACUUUACUAAAAGAUAACGAUUUUACAGAUUGAGCAUUAUGAUCAUUAUAAUAUUUUGGUUUAAAAUAAUUUCUCUUCUCAUUCUGGUGCAAAAUUAGAGCUCAUCUUAUAUUCAAAGGCACCACCUGGGGGUGCUGUAGGAGUAGUGACAAAUAUCAGGAUUAAAUAACAGCUCAUCAAACUGAUCUGUAAAGUUGCAAAGCAAUAAUAAACAUUUGUAUAUUGGUAUGUCUUCUUUCCAAACAGGUUUUCCAAACUCUGAGAACAUCUGAGAACCAGAGGGGAAAACAAACCCUCCUACCCUAAAAACCACGAAGCACUCUGAGAGUGCAAACAUCCACCAAAGUUUUAUUAGAAUUCACACAAACCUUUUUGAGUUAUUGUGUUUACACACAGAAAGAAUGACACACAUGCAUGUUAAAACUACCAGAAACAUAACCUACUUGGAGAUGGUUACAACAGAAAAAGAAAAAAUAAUUGCAAUUUCAUUUAUUUAUUUGGGGGGAUUUUUUUUUUUUGUCAUCCACCCAUUUUCUUCCGGUCCAACCUGGCCACCAAGAUCUCUCCCUUGGCCCCCCCCUCUUCCAGGCCUGUCUCCUGGGCAGGGCCCUGGUAACCCUAUCCCAGGCAGGGUGAACUGUUCCCUUGAGCUUACACUGAUAAGUGCCUUUGUCGGGUCCUUCACCCAGACCAAUUUGCCAUGGGAGACCCUACCAGGGAACAAAAGCUAACUGUCAGCACACACCCUGGAACCUGUGGGAGACACAAACCCCGAUUCAUGGAGGGGGGAUUUUUAGUUAUGUUUAUUUAUUUAUUUUUGAUCUGUGAUAAUGGGUCGAAAAGAGAAGUAUAAAAUUGCCCCAAAAUCUGGUCUGACUUUUUAAUAAAGUAAAUAUGUCUGAUGUUGCUGUGGAAUGACUCCCAGCAGAAGACAAAACUUCAUAAAAAGAUUUAGGCAGAAUCAUGACUUGACAUCUGUUUUUGAAGCACCGCUAUAUUCUGUAUCAUGUGCUAACACAGGAUCCAUGACAAAAACUGUAUUUAAACAUUAUUUUCUUUUUCUUUAUGUUUAACUUCUUCUUUAGUUAAUUGGUUGUUGUUAAUGGUUUUAAGCUCUUGUAAGUCUUUCAUUACUACUAAAAAAAAUGAUUUUACUGAGUAAAAGAUCCGAAUUUACACCAAA
ensembl:lncRNA